ACGAACUGUGCGAACGUUAUUCGGAAUCACUGGGCUUAAAGGGUGCGUAGGCGGAUUUGUAGGUCAGAUGUGAAAGCCCACGGCUCAACCGUGGAAUUGCGUUUGAAACCACAAGUCUUGAGGAAGUCAGAGGUAUGCGGAACUGAUGGUGGAGCGGUGAAAUGUGUUGAUAUCAUCAGGAACACCGGUGGCGAAAGCGGCAUACUGGGACUUUUCUGACGCUGAGGCACGAAAGCUAGGGGAGCGAACGGG
rnacentral:rRNA from 1 species